rnacentral:tRNA from 1 species
GGUGACAUAGCCAAGCGGUAAGGCACAGGUCUGCAACACCUCGAGCGGCGGUUCAAAUCCGCCUGUCACCU